AUUGAACGCUGGCGGCAGGCCUAACACAUGCAAGUCGAGCGGAAACGAGUUAUCUGAACCUUCGGGGGACGAUAACGGCGUCGAGCGGCGGACGGGUGAGUAAUGCCUAGGAAAUUGCCCUGAUGUGGGGAUAACCAUUGGAAACGAUGGCUAAUACCGCAUAAUGCCUACGGGCCAAAGAGGGGGACCUUCGGGCCUCUCGCGUCAGGAUAUGCCUAGGUGGGAUUAGCUAGUUGGUGAGGUAAUGGCUCACCCAAGGCGACGAUCCCUAGCUGGUCUGAGAGGAUGAUCAGCCACACUGGAACUGAGACACGGUCCAGGACUCCUACGGGAGGCAGCAUGGGGAAUAGUUGCUACAAUGGGCGCAAGCCUGAUGCAGCCAUGCCGCGUGUCGUGAGAAGGCCUUCGGGUUGUAAAGCACUUUCAGUCGUGAGGAA
rnacentral:rRNA from 1 species